rnacentral:lncRNA from 10 species
GUUCAGUAUCUGAACACUUUUGCUAAAGGUCUCUGGAAAGCUCCCUGUGUUAAUUCUCGAUGAGACUACGUCUGUGCCGGCCGCUUCCUGAGCCUCCUUCCAUGUGCAUAGGCCUGCUGCAUGCUGGAGACCUGCGGCACAGCUGCCAAGUGCCCCGUGUGGUUCUGUGAUCUUGGGACAGUCACUUCCUCUCUGUGGUUGUCAGUCUUCUCAUCCCUAAGGAACUUGGAAUAACUUGCAGUGUCUUGCAGUAUUGUGAAACCAGCAACUUGUUCACAAUUCUUCUGAAUUUCUUGGGAAAUUUGAAGUGGAGUACCUGUACCAACAUGAAAUGACACGAAUUUAAGUGACGCUCAACAACGAAAAGCAAAAAGAACCAAAGAGGAAGCAACUGAAACAACAUCUGGAUGUAUUUAAAAAUAUACAAUGCCUCCAAAAUCAGGUGUCAUUAAUGAAAAUUCUGAAGAAAUGCCACCGGACAUAGCCAACGCACCUACGCUGUUGUUAUUCAUUUCCUGCUUUUCACAGAAAACAAUUUUGUUGCAUGGAAGAUCGUGAACUUCAAAGGGCAGAGGGGAAACUGUCCCUUGGCCUCUACCCCUCCAAGGCCCCACUUUUUUGUCAACACUCCUUGGACGCAGCAGAAGUAUGAACAUAAUAUGGUCCUGAAUGAGGCUGAGUCUUUGGGCGCAGAAGACCCGGGUUAAUAAAAAUAGGAAGGUAAGAAAAGAAAAGAAAAAUCAAGACACAUCAUAGGACUAAAUUCCUAUUAUUUAUCCACUCAGGAUUGACCACCCCUUUGGGCCAGAUAGUUGUACCCCCAUGUACCAGGUGGGCACAUGAAGACACAAGAAGUGCUGUGAUGGUUCAUUUUGCACGUCACCUUGCGUGGAGUAUGCCAACUCAUUGUUUGGUCAAACACUAGUCUGGACAUGGUGGUAAAGGUAUUUUUUAGAUGAGAUUAACACUUAAAUCAGUAAAGCAGGUUACCCACCAUACUACGGGUGGGCCCUGUCCAAUCAGUUGAAGGCAUUAAGAACAAAGAUUGAGGUUUCCUAAAGAAGAUGGAAUUCUCCUUGAGACUACAACAUAGAAACCCUAUCUGAGUUUCCAGCCUGUUGCCCUGUGGAAUUCAAACUCAGGACUCCGGUCUAUGACAUUAACCCUCACUUAACUUUUCAGCCUGCCAGCCUGCCCUAUGGAUUUCGGACUUGCCAGCCACACAAUUCCUUAAAAUAAAUCUCUCCGUCUCUGUC